AUACUAUCUUUACCAAGUUUACACGUCAAACACCCCCCCCCCCCCCCCCCCCCCCCCCCCCCCCUCUCUCUCUGCUAUGAACGUGUUUUCCCCUUUCCAAAAACGGAAAGCAGUGACCCAUCAUCACCUCCAUCAACUUUCCCCAAAAAUCAAAACGCCUCUUUCAACUUUCACAAAUCAGCAACAGUGACCCUCUUCCCCCCCUUCACCGCUCCUUCUCUACCACACCUACCACCCCCUAACAAGAACCCUAGUAUACCUCUACACAGACCAGCUCCAACUACCCUCUGCGCGACCAUCUCCCAAACCCCGAAAAUCCGCAAAAACAGUGAAAUCAGCACAGUUUCGGGGAUAAGAUAACAAAAAUCUUUCAAUUAUCAUUAUACCUGUGGAAAAAUGGAGAUUUGGAUUUGAAAUUCAAAAUCCUAUCUCGAAGCUUGCAAUAUUCUUCAAUUUUGGAUUCAAAUCUGGACGUUCGAGUCUGGAUUUCACCUAUAAAAGGGGUAUUCUUCAGCCCCUGAGGACAAGGGGAGAAAAUCGGGAAAAAGGGAGUUAAAUUGGAGGGGAAAUAGAGUAAAAAGGAAUCCGAGCGAGCAAAAGUUCUGAAAUUUGAGAAAAGGAGAAAAAAGGGGGAAGAAAGUUAAGCGAAGGGUGAAAACUAGUGUCAAAAAAAAAUUGAAAAAUAGAGAAAAUUAGAGCGCAUACGUUCGGAAUCCUCAGAGUUGAAUUCGCCUUCGGAAAACCCUUGUCGGCGUAGCUUCAGUUUUGCUGCCCCACACAAGGAGUUGGAGUUCCGCGAUGGAACUCAUUUUGACCCAAAAUAUUGGGACACUCGCUACUAGGAUCACCAGAGCCUCGGAGUCUCAAAUUCGAAGCCCAAACUCCUAAAUGGAGUCUAGUAUCUCUUAUUUUCUUUGAAUUUAAUUUGUACUCGUCAUGUUGAGUGUUAGAAUGAUACUAACUCUUGAAUCUCUCUUUUUUUAGAUAACUUUACUUAAUUAUUAAAUUUAUGUUGUCUUGUUAUUUGUCAA